rnacentral:tRNA from 2 species
GGUCCGGUAGCUCAGCUGGAUAGAGCAACUGCCUUCUAAGCAGUAGGUCAAAGGUUCGAAUCCUUUCCGGAUCAC